GAUGAACGCUGGCGGCGUGCUUAACACAUGCAAGUCGAACGAAGCACUUUAUUUGAUUUCUUCGGAAUGAAGAUUUUGUGACUGAGUGGCGGACGGGUGAGUAACGCGUGGGUAACCUGCCUCAUACAGGGGGAUAACAGUUGGAAACGACUGCUAAUACCGCAUAAGCGCACAGGGUCGCAUGACCUGGUGUGAAAAACUCCGGUGGUAUGAGAUGGACCCGCGUCUGAUUAGCCAGUUGGUGGGGUAACGGCCUACCAAAGCAACGAUCAGUAGCCGACCUGAGAGGGUGACCGGCCACAUUGGGACUGAGACACGGCCCAAACUCCUACGGGAGGCAGCAGUGGGGAAUAUUGCACAAUGGGGGAAACCCUGAUGCAGCGACGCCGCGUGAGCGAAGAAGUAUUUCGGUAUGUAAAGCUCUAUCAGCAGGGAAGAAGAAA
rnacentral:rRNA from 1 species